rnacentral:lncRNA from 1 species
UUUUUAGUUUCAUCUUUCAAAUUUUGUAUAAAUUUUCUGAAUUGGCAGAACCUGAUUUAUAUCCAGAGUCCGAGCUAUAAGGGAGCAUGGGAAAUGUCCUCUCUGCCUUAACAUCAUUUCAACAGAGAAAGUUAGAAUCAAGAUUGAGGGGAGCAAUCAUAGGAUCCACCACGAGGAUUAUGCAUAAGGAUCACAGUGUGACUGCUCAUUUCCUUGGGGAAGAUGAAAUCUCCUCCCCUAUUCAAAGGCAGCUGAACCUAGUUGACAGACAUCGGUACCUUUGAUACCAUCUGGGUCAUUUUGUCUUAAAUAACAUCACAGAUGGGACAGUAACCGUCAGUCCAGUGGGGGCAACAGCCCAGCCAUCUCUUUCACCCUCUGUUCUCCAGUGAUGAAAUGUUAAGUCUGAGCAUCUUUUAUAGCUGUUCCCCCACUCUCUUCUUUGGUGUGUAAGGACUUGAAUAAUAACACACAGGCCUUCCAAGAAUCAGCAAGAGAGUCUCACACAGGGAAGAUAAAUUUACCAAUUAGAAUACAAUCUGUGGGGAUAAAGAUAUGUUAAAUGGCACAUGCAAUUCAUAUCACUUAAUGGAACACAACCUGCUCGACUGAAACAUUUUAUAUUUGAUUAUUUCAAUAUCUUUUCCAAGUUCAACGGAUGAGCUUAAAAGACAUCAGAAAAUUAAAAGGACCUUCAAGUGAUUUUUUUGCCCUAGAACAAAAUAAAAGUCAGUUGCUUCCUGAAAACACUUGAAGGGAUCGCAACUUGUGGUUGUUGCCAUUUUCUUUUCUUCUCAAUUUACCAAACUAGAGGCUCCGGGAGUCGCCCAUUAGCGCUUUUUUCUUUGGAGUUGCUGUGGAGUUUUAGCCCACAAGUGCAGACUCUCUUAAGAACCUUCAAGAACAAGAACAAGACGCAGAGUAAGGACGUGAGAGGUGCUUCUGCCCUCUUGAUUAUGUGCUUGCUUUGUUUGGGAGUGGGCAUCGCAAGGAUGCAAGGCUUUUUAAAGAAUUCAAUUAAUUAAGGUCGCACAAAAUGAUACGUGAAUUGUAUUCUCACUGUAAACAAUUCAAACUUCACAGAUCAAAAUAAAAUCAAAGAAGAGCCCAAAUCCUUAAUCACCCCCU